rnacentral:lncRNA from 1 species
UUUUUGACCCUGCUAGAAGAGAUAGAUCUGUGACUGUAAAAGAGCAUUGCAUAAGUUACUGAUUAACAAUAUUCAUUAUAAAAAUACGUUUAAAUUUGCUCCUGUACUAUUCAUGAUUGAACAACUUUACCAUUCGUUAUACUUUACUCCGUAAUGAAAAAGACUGAUUUUUAUAUUAGGAUUCUUUUUCUUGUUUUCUCCUUCUCUCCUUCCUGGAACUAUCGUCUGUCAAAUAUAAUUUCUAAAACAAUAUGAUUUGCUUUAAAAGGUUAUAUACGACUGAUCUUUGUUAUAAAAUGAAGAGUUCCUUUUUUGAAAUGAAUAGUUAAAUAACUAAAUUCCUGAUAAACGAAAUAGUAUCAGCUCUUCAGAUGAUAUAGGCUAAUAUAUGAUUACGGAAUAGUCUUCUUACUAAACUUUAAACUGUUCUAGGCAAAACUAAUAAUUAGCUCAUGUUAGAGUGUAUAUAUAUGUAAUCUCUGCUGUAAAUAUUGAAUAUGGCAUUAAUCCAUUAGCAAAAGUGAUUAACAAUUCAUACUUUCCUUCAGUUUCUCACUCUACCGGGCUAAUUGCUCUUCCAGAUUAAACUCCUAUAAUGUCUUCGGUAUCAAGUAAUUAUUAUAUAAUCGCUUAUACAUAAGAUUACCAUGUUCAAGAUCCUGGUAUAUAUAUUAUGGAUAAAGAUUAUUUCUAUACUCAAUUUAAUUAAAAAUCUUAGGUUCGAACUCUAUCUAAAGAACAAAUGACAUUGUAUAGCCGCUGUAAACAUAAUAGCCGAAAAAUGUAUAAAAUUUGUAUAUAUAUAUAUAUAUAUAUAUAUAUAUAUAUAUACACAUUAUGUAGGUUAUGUACAAAUAUUAUACAAAAUUUAUACACUUUCGACUACCGGAUAUAAAUAAUUUCUGGCGCAGGCUAAAAGUGAUAAUACCCCAACUCUAAAAAUGAUAAACCUUUUUAUAGAAACUGUUUCCUUGUACAAUCAAACAUCUCUAUAAUAUCCUCAUUUGUUCCGAUAGUUUAUGGCUGCUAUAGUGAAGUGUUGCUAUAGAAAACAUAUAUUAUAACAUAAUAUAAAAAUCGGUUCGAAGAAAAACUUGGCUUUUACAUUGAAUGACUAUUAUAUAAAGAUAUUAUAAAGAGGUCUAACUGUAGUAGAACCUAUGCAAUGCGAAUUAGAUUUAAUUGGAUUUCGUUUCAGAUAACAAGUGGCUAAAGAAAAAUACAAUACAAUACGGUACAAUAUCAAACAGUCGAAAGACUACAAGACAAGAGGUACAUGUUGACCCAAGACUUGUUGCAAGUUGCAACAAUAGGAACUACUAACAAAACAAAACACAAACUAAGAGAAAUUAACUAGAGGAAAGUGAAUAGAAUUAUAUUAGGCUAUUCAUAACUUUCCCUUUAUUCUCAAAACUAAUCUCACACCAGCACAAGUACAUAGUCUCUGAAGCCUAAUUUUGUUCAUGACAUUUAGGACAUUUGCUGCAAAUCUGGUAUUUACAUGAGCAAAUUUUACAAGCUUUGCCG